AACGAACGCUGGCGGCGUGGCUAAGACAUGCAAGUCGAACGAAUUGGGUAACUGAUUAGUGGCGAAAGGGUGAGUAAUGGAUAGGUAACGUACCCUGUGCACCCGGAUAGCGCCUCGAAAGGGGCGGUAAUACAGGAUAAUGUCAUCGUUGACAGACGAAUGACCAAAGAUUAUUUCGGCACUUGAGCGGCCUAUCUCCUAUCAGCUUGUUGGUGAGGUAAUGGCUCACCAAGGCAACGACGGGUAGCGGGGCUGAGAGGUCGGCCCGCCACAUCGGGACUGAGACACUGCCCGGACCUCCACGGAGGGCUGCAGUAACGAAUAUUGGGCAAUGGGCGAAAGCCUGACCCAGCGACGCCGCGUGCGGGAUGAAGUCUCUCGGGAUGUAAACCGCUGUCAGGGGUAAGAAAGUCCGCUUCGGCGGAUUGAUCUAACCCAAAGGAAGUCACGGCUAACUUCGUGCCAGCAGCCGCGGUAAGACGAAGGUGGCAAGCGUUGUUCGGAAUCACUGGGCUUAAAGAGCGCGUAGGCGGAACAGUAAGCGUCCUGUGAAAUCCCCCGGCUUAACCGGGGAACGGCUGGGCGAACUGCUGUUCUUGAGGCAAGCAGGGGUGCGUGGAACUCUUGGUGGAGCGGUGAAAUGCGUAGAUAUCAAGAGGAACGCCGGUGGAGAAAUCGGCGCACUGGGCUUGUUCUGACGCUGAGGCGCGAAAGCGUGGGGAGCGAACGGGAUUAGAUACCCCGGUAGUCCACGCCGUAAACGAUGCCUACUAGGUUGCGGGGGCUCUGAGUCCUCGCGGCCGAAGCAAAAGUGUUAAGUAGGCCGCCUGGGGAGUACGGUCGCAAGGCUAAAACUCAAAGGAAUUGACGGGGGCUCACACAAGCGGUGGAGCAUGUGGAUUAAUUCGAAGCAACGCGCAGAACCUUACCUGGGUUUGACAUGCUGGAGCCCGCCCGGAAACGGGUGGGUCCUUCGGGGAACUGGCACAGGUGCUGCAUGGCUGCCGUCAGCUCGUGUCGUGAGAUGUCGGGUUAAGUCCCUUAACGAGCGAAACCCUUGCCGUUAGUUGCCAGCGGGUCAUGCCGGGGACUCUAACGGGACUGCCGGUGUUAAACCGGAGGAAGGUGGGGAUGACGUCAAGUCCUCAUGGCCUUUAUGCCCAGGGCUUCACACGUGCUACAAUGGCGACUACAAAGCGACGCAAAACCGAGAGGCAGAGCAAAUCGCAAAAAAGUCGCCCCAGUUCGGAUUGCAGGCUGCAACUCGCCUGCAUGAAGUCGGAAUCGCUAGUAAUAGCGUAUCAGCAUGACGCGGUGAAUGUGUUCCUGAGCCUUGUACACACCGCCCGUCAAGUGAUGGGAGCCGGGAGUACUCGAAGUCAGGUUGCUAACCGCCUGGAAGCGCCUGCCGACGGUAAGCUCGGUGACUGG
rnacentral:rRNA from 1 species